UGACCGUCCAAUUAACCUGACACCACACCGUCCAAAUUAGAUGCAUGCAGUUGAGCGGCUGACUCGAUGAGCAUUGAUUUAGAUGCCAGACACUAACAACACCAACCCUCUCUUCUUAAACCCACUUUCACUCUCUUAUUUAGGGUUCAAAACUGCAUUCUCUCACUACCGCCGUUGAUGUGCAAUCUGCCUUGCCUGGAUGCUUGACGCAGCUUCUGUGCUGUGGAACCGUUGAGGAUCUAAUGCCACGGAGAUGCUCGAUCAUCACUUUCAAUUCUUCACCAUCUAUCAAUUGUGAUUUCUCUGAUUAAUUACAUUAUAAUAGACUUACAAGAUAAACACUGGCGAAAUAGUCUGAGAUGUGCUGAUUGUGGUGUUGUGAAGCAAUUUUCCUGUAAUAUGUCAACCCCUAAGAUUUAAGAGACCCUUCUCAAUUAAAAUCGAGGCCACAUAACUAGCGAGCAUAAUUUUGCAUUAUAAGCGUAAGAAAAAAAUUAAAAAAAAUAUCAUAUAGAGAAAUUUUACUAUUUUUAAGUUAGAAAUUUCUUUUCACCUCACUUCUUCAUUAACUCAUUCGAAACAUUCAAAACUUUCGCAAAAAAUUCCUAACAACUCGAAAUUUUUUGAAACAUAAGUGAAAGUUUUUGUUAACUUUCAAACUUUUGAAAUUCAAUUUUUCAACAAUAUUUUGAAUGUUUAGUUCAUUUUGAAACUUUUGAAAAACUAUUUUCUAGAUAUUUUCAAAACAUGUUAAAAGUUCAGAAAUGCAAAUUUUUUAGAAAAUGAAAAUAUCAAAACUUUUGAUAAACAUGAAACAUUCGAAACUUCUAGAUUUAUUAGUUUUGAAACUUUCAUAAAUGGAGAAAUUAUUUGCACUAGUCUGCAAUGUAACCGAAAAAGUUUUGCCUAAGGCAUCUAAUUGACGGAUGUAUAAGGCUAACCAUCCACCCUAUCCACAUUGCCGACAAGACACACUCGAGUCUAGGCGAAGUAUGAUAGUUUAUUCACCAAUUUUGAGCAUUGUCAAGACUAUGCAUAGAGUGCAUCUGCAUUGGUUGUGCUAUAUGACAAUCUCAGACAUGGAGCUUUUCAUGACACAAAGAAGUUUGGAGGAUAGAUGACCAUGUUACAGUUUUGGAUUUAUGAGCACUUUCCUAAAAUCUAUAAGCGAUGAGACAAUGGGAGUGUACCUAAACAUACUCACAGAGCUUGUAUGUGGACUAUCAAACAUGUUGUCGAAGGUGGAUUGAUAGUGUAUCGACUUAGGCUUGAUGAUGUAGUAUUCACACAAUACAAUGAUGACUGGGUCAACUAAUGACAAU